rnacentral:lncRNA from 12 species
AUGCCCUCCAGGGUAAGUCCCUGUGAAAGGGGUCCUGUCGCUUUAAAAGGGCUCCCCAGCAAUGGGGAUUCUGGGCCAUUUUUCCCUUCUAUGGCCAGUUUUGGAGGGCGUGUUCCUGUUAGCAAACCUUGGCCCCCCGUAAAUACCCUGCAGCCGCCGCCGGUAAUGACAGGCCGGCGGGGAGCCCGCGGAGCGCGCCGGGGCUCCUGCAGGCGGCGCCGCCGCGGCCCCGGGGCCACGGCCACAGCCAGGCCCGAGCCGGGCCCCGCCGGGAUCGACCUCCGCAGGGCUCGCGCAGGCCCGCGCGCCCGUGAACUUGGCCGGGGGCGCCUUCCCGAACGCGCGCGCCGGGCCGGAGCCUCUCCCAGCCCUGGAUGCCCGAGCCCCCACCCGCUCGGGCCCCCAAGAACAAAGCUCGCCGCCGCCGAAACUUGGGGCCUCCCGGUGGUCAGGUGUCGGGCGGCCUGUGCUCCGCUGCCCCUGCGCCCCCCAUCGUGCGCCCCGCCCCGCGGGGNNNNNNNNNNCCACGUUUGGGUCUGGCUGUGCCUAACGGCUCUAGCUCCUUCCCUUCGAAGGUCCUCGCCACGUAGGCGGCACCGAGAUCCCGCCGUCCCCCACCCCCACCCCCCCGAGGCGCAGGCUCGGGGACUUGAGGGCCUGUCCUGUCUGGGGGGGUCUGGCCUUCCCGGCGCCCCUUCUCCGGGAGGACGAGACGCAGAGAUGCCGCUGGGCCCUCCCCGCCCCCCCGCGCGCGCCGGCCCCGCCCCCCGCGCUAACAAACAGCGCGUUGCCGGGCAACCGGCGCCGGGCCCCGCCCCGUCCGCACGCGAGAUCCGGGUUCGAGCCUCCCGCCGGCUGGACGCCGCGCCGGGCUCUGGCCCCCGCGGCCCCGCCGCGAUUAAGGACUCGGAUCAGGCGUGCAGUCCUGGUGGGCGCAGACCUGAGGGCGCAGCGACAGCUGUGGUUCCCCGGGGGUCAGGGGACAGAGGGUGCGUCCCCGCAAGCCAGGCGCUUGCCCUGCUCCUCUGGAGGCCGGUGCCAGGGUCAGGGGGUGGCACGGUGUACUCGCUGUGGGGUGAGAAGAGCCCUGUGGAGCCGGGCCAGAGCUGUGGCCCAAGGGGUCGAAACCAUUUCUGUAGAGGGUCUUAG